GCUUGCUUUCGAUAGGCGUCGACCGGCGCACGGGUGAGUAACGCGUAUCCAACCUGCCCAUAACUAAGGGAUAAUCCGUAGAAAUGCGGUCUAAUACCUUAUGUGAUCCGAGGAAGACAUCUGAUUUGGAUUAAAGAUUUAUCGGUUAUGGAUGGGGAUGCGUCUGAUUAGAUUGUUGGCGGGGCAACGGCCCACCAAGUCUGCGAUCAGUAGGGGUUCUGAGAGGAAGGUCCCCCACAUUGGAACUGAGACACGGUCCAAACUCCUACGGGAGGCAGCAGUGAGGAAUAUUGGUCAAUGGGCGGGAGCCUGAACCAGCCAAGUAGCGUGCAGGAUGACGGCCCUAUGGGUUGUAAACUGCUUUUGUAUGGGGAUAAAGUGCUCCACGUGUGGAGUUUUGCAGGUACCAUACGAAUAAGGACCGGCUAAUUCCGUGCCAGCAGCCGCGGUAAUACGGAAGGUCCGGGCGUUAUCCGGAUUUAUUGGGUUUAAAGGGAGCGUAGGCCGUGGAUUAAGUGUGUUGUGAAAUGUAGGCGCUCAACGUCUGACUUGCAGCGCAUACUGGUCCACUUGAGUGCGCACAACGCGGGCGGAAUUUGUCGUGUAGCGGUGAAAUGCUUAGAUAUGACGAAGAACCCCGAUUGCGAAGGCAGCUCGCGGGAGCGCAACUGACGCUGAAGCUCGAAAGUGCGGGUAUCGAACAGGAUUAGAUACCCUGGUAGUCCGCACGGUAAACGAUGGAUGCCCGCUUUUCGGUCAUUAGACCGUGAGGCCAAGUGAAAACAUUAAGCAUCCCACCU
rnacentral:rRNA from 1 species